rnacentral:lncRNA from 1 species
GUUGUGUCUCUUUAACAUGAAACAAAUCUCUUGUCUGCUUUCUGCUUUAGGAGGCCACUGGCAAUUGGCAGUUGAUUCCGAUUAGGUUCAGCCCCCAGUACUGUGGGCCUGUUGUGAUCAGGAACAAUGCCGGUCCGGUGGUUAAAGCUUGGAGAACUUUCCAGUUCAUCAGCCCCAUCAUCACCUACAUGCGUGGGGGAUCCCAGCAGGUGGUGGUGAGGAUGCACCACGUGAGUAGGGUGAGAGGCCUGGAGACUCAACUGGUGUGGGCCAUCUCCAAGGAGACAGCCAGGCUUAGUCCAGAGGGCAUCCCCUACUGUGCCACCAAAGUGCAGUCCAUCACUUGGAUCCAGGUAAGACGUAAAUACUACUGAAACAGUAGUAGAUUAGGCUUUUCUUCACUUAUUCCAUUUGGCCUUAAUAUGUAUUCUCUCUUUGUCAGCGUGUGGCUGGCAGGGUGACCCACUAUGCGUCUCACCUCCGCCACGAGACGUCUGUGGACGUGACGCUUGGCUGCUACCAGGUAAAUAAACGAUUUCCUAUGUAUAUAGACUAGACAUUACUGGGCAUUUUUGCAUUCGAUUUGGUGUGUUUUCUAAUAACGUGUGUGUGUGUGGUAAACCGGUGUGCUGUGUGUGUUUUGAGCAGCAGACUGAUGUCUCAGUGGUGUACGCCACUCUCCACAUGGGGCUGGACGGGCUUCUAUCCUCUUCGGCGUGGUCGGAGGCUGCCUCCUUCUCUACUCCCACCACUCAGCAGUUCACUGACCCAGAGCCUGAGGGCCACAACUGCUAUGAGGUCAGACGUUACACACACAUACUAUUGACUAGGAGC